AGAGUUUGAUCCUGGCUCAGGACGAACGCUGGCGGCGUGCCUAACACAUGCAAGUCGAGCGGGGAUUAUCGAAUGAAGUUUUCGGAUGGAUUUUGGUAAUUCUAGCGGCGGACGGGUGAGUAACGCGUGAGCAACCUGCCUUUCACAGGGGGAUAACGCAUCGAAAGGUGCACUAAUACCGCAUGAGACCACGCUCCCGACAUGAGAGAGGGGUCAAAGGAGCAAUCCGGUGAGAGAUGGGCUCGCGUCUGAUUAGCUGGUUGGUGAGGUAACGGCCCACCAAGGCGACGAUCAGUAGCCGACCUGAGAGGGUGAUCGGCCACAUUGGAACUGAGAGACGGUCCAAACUCCUACGGGAGGCAGCAGUGGGGAAUAUUGGGCAAUGGGGGAAACCCUGACCCAGCAACGCCGCGUGAAGGAAGAAGGUUUUCGGAUCGUAAACUUCUAUCCUUGGUGAAAAUAGUGAUGGUAGCCAAGAAGGAAGCCCCGGCUAACUACGUGCCAGCAGCCGCGGUAAUACGUAGGGGGCAAGCGUUGUCCGGAAUGAUUGGGCGUAAAGGGCGCGUAGGCGGCCUGGUAAGUUUGAAGUGAAAGUCCUUCUUUUAAGGAGGGAACUGCUUUGAAAACUGUCGGGCUUGAGUGCAGGAGAGGUAAGCGGAAUUCCCGGUGUAGCGGUGAAAUGCGUAGAGAUCGGGAGGAACACCAGUGGCGAAGGCGGCUUACUGGACUGUUACUGACGCUGAGGCGCGAAAGUGUGGGGAGCAAACAGGAUUAGAUACCCUGGUAGUCCACACUGUAAACGAUGAAUGCUAGGUGUAGGGGGUAUCGACCCCUUCUGUGCCGGAGUAAACACAAUAAGCAUUCCGCCUGGGGAGUACGGCCGCAAGGUUGAAACUCAAAGGAAUUGACGGGGGCCCGCAC
rnacentral:rRNA from 1 species